UGGCUCAGGACGAACGCUGGCGGCGUGCCUAACACAUGCAAGUCGAACGAAGCUGGGAGAAAGAUUCUUCGGAAUGAAUUCUCUAAGACUGAGUGGCGGACGGGUGAGUAACGCGUGAGCAACCUGCCCUUCGGAGGGGGAUAGUGUCUGGAAACGGACAGUAAUACCGCAUAACGUACAGAUACGGCAUCGUGACUGUACCAAAGAUUUAUCGCCGAAGGAUGGGCUCGCGUCUGAUUAGAUAGUUGAUGGGGUAACGGCCUACCAAGUCGACGAUCAGUAGCCGGACUGAGAGGUUGAUCGGCCACAUUGGGACUGAGACACGGCCCAGACUCCUACGGGAGGCAGCAGUGGGGAAUAUUGCACAAUGGGCGCAAGCCCUGAUGCAGCAACGCCGCGUGGAGGAAGACGGUUUUCGGAUUGUAAACUCCUGUUCUUAGGGAAGAAGACAGUGACGGUACCUAAGGAGAAAGCCACGGCUAACUACGUGCCAGCCGCCGC
rnacentral:rRNA from 1 species